AUUAGUUCUGAGGUAACAUCGUGAUCAUAAACAAAAUGGCGUCGUCAGUUGGAAGGUUAUGCUUGUCUGUCUCCAGAACAGUCGUCCCUCGCCGGACUUUCACCUCCGGAAAGGCCCUCCGCUGUCACCCACCUGGAAUUCCCAAUGACUCGAUGCCCUUCGUGUCAAGAGGGCUGAAUAAAAGUGCGUUCUCACUUGGAUAUGUGCUGUUUUUCACGACUGCAUUUUUGUGGCCGGUGUUGGCUGCUCGGGAUCAGAGCCUCAGGAUUGGCGCAGCCAUAGAGGAUCCGAGUGAAAGCUAAAGUUGUCUGGAGCGGACCCGGUAACGUCCACCACUGACAGGUUGCCAGACAGACCCGGAGUUUUAUAAUGAUUGGCUGGAUCCUUCUUUACUAGUUUUUUGAGCUGUGAAUAUAUUGGCCUGCUGGAGCAGAACUGACCAUUGUACUCCGCUGUGCGGCCAGUGUCCUAAAUUUUUGAUAUUUUUCGGCUGGACCCUUCUUCUGUGGAAGUUAUUGUAAAAUGUCUGAACUGUGAAUAAAUUAUUUGAAAUGUA